CCUACGGGGGGCUGCAGUGAGGAAUAUUGGUCAAUGGGCGAGAGCCUGAACCAGCCAAGUCGCGUGAAGGAUGACGGCCCUACGGGUUGUAAACUUCUUUUGUCAGGGAGCAAUUGGGUCCACGCGUGGGCUUAGCGAGAGUACCUGAAGAAAAAGCAUCGGCUAACUCCGUGCCAGCAGCCGCGGUAAUACGGAGGAUGCGAGCGUUAUACGGAGUUAUUGGGUUUAAAGGGUGCGUAGGCGGAAUAUCAAGUCAGCGGUAAAAAUUCGGGGCUCAACCCCGUCGUGCCGUUGAAACUGGUGGUCUUGAGUGGGCGAGAAGUAUGCGGAAUGCGUGGUGUAGCGGUGAAAUGCAUAGAUAUCACGCAGAACUCCGAUUGCGAAGGCAGCAUACCGGCGCCCAACUGACGCUGAGGCACGAAAGCGUGGGUAUCGAACAGGAUUAGAUACCCCAGUAGUC
rnacentral:rRNA from 1 species